AGAGUCGCCCGGAUCACCGCGUUGUACUUGUACACCGAGGAAAGUCCGGACUCCACAGAGCAAGGUGGUGGGUAACGCCCACCCGGAGAAAUCCGCGGGAUGAGUGCCACAGAAAAUAGACCGCACAUUAGAAAUAAUGUGUAAGGGUGAAACGGUGGUGUAAGAGACCACCAGCAUUUACGGCAACGUAUAUGGCUAGGUAAACCCCACUUGGAGCAAGACCAGACAGAUAGCGUUUGAGAACUGCUCGUUCGAGCUAUCGGGUAGGUCGCUUGAUUACGUAAGCAAU
rnacentral:RNase_P_RNA from 1 species